UCCGCCAUGUUGAGGCGCGGAGCCGCCGCCCAGCACAGGGCAGCGGGCGGGGGCCGGGGCGCUGCCCGGGCCCUGCGAACCCUCGGAGCUGCUUCUGCCUCCCUCGCUAUCCCGCCCAUCUGCCCGAGCUCCCUCGGGCGCUGACCGUCCUGUCGUGAGGGUUGGAACGAAGGGCUGCAAGUGUCCUUCUGCGUGGGGCGGUGGCCUGCGGAGACCCCCCCGCGGCAGGUCUCGGGGUGGGGCAGUCCUGUAAUUGCGUGACAGCGAUGUUCUAUGACACGAGUGAUAAGGACAUCUUUGUGACAGCCUCUCAAGCUCGGCUCGGGUCGCCCGUGCUCAGAAGUGCACGGGGCCAGUGCGAAGUCCGCUGGAAGCGACAGCCCUGCCACGAUUUUGGCUGCGAGUUUGCAGCUCUGGGUUGGCACUGCGGGGCUUGUGAAGCCGCCGGGGACCAAACGGGAGCUCCCAAGUCAAGGUCCCCAGUCCAGUGACCUUGAACAGCAGCACUGAGGAAAAGGAGAAGUGUGGUCAGUGGAGCCUGGGGCAGCUUGGUGAACCGCAGUGUGAAAUAGUGAGCGCUGUCACAGUAUCUCAGCCGUCUGAAAACACCACAAUGAAAAAACUUGGUUGUAUAUGAUACCUAAGGAGUGAUCCAGUAAGAAACAGAUGAGUCUGCAAAAACUCAAAGAGUAGUUUUUUCGUGAUAAUAAAUAUCAAAUAAAUCUUUUUCAAGUGAACCAUG